CCUACGGGAGGCUGCAGUGGGGAAUAUUGGACAAUGGGCGAAAGCCUGAUCCAGCCAUGCCGCGUGUGUGAAGAAGGCCUUCGGGUUGUAAAGCACUUUCAGUGGGGAAGAAAGCCUUGGGGCUAAUACCCUCGAGGAAGGACAUCACCCACAGAAGAAGCACCGGCUAACUCCGUGCCAGCAGCCGCGGUAAUACGGAGGGUGCGAGCGUUAAUCGGAAUUACUGGGCGUAAAGCGCGCGUAGGCGGUCUGAUAAGCCGGUUGUGAAAGCCCCUGGCUCAACCUGGGAACGGCAUCCGGAACUGUCAGGCUAGAGUGCAGGAGAGGAAGGUAGAAUUCCCGGUGUAGCGGUGAAAUGCGUAGAGAUCGGGAGGAAUACCAGUGGCGAAGGCGGCCUUCUGGACUGACACUGACGCUGAGGUGCGAAAGCGUGGGUAGCAAACAGGAUUAGAUACCCGUGUAGUC
rnacentral:rRNA from 1 species